GCCAGGUGCAUUGGCACAUGCCUGUAAUUCCAGCUACACAGGAGGCUGAGGCAGGAGAAUCACAAGUUGGAGGCCAGCCUCAGCAAUUUAUUGAGCCCUUCAACAACUUGGUGAGGCCCUGUCUCAA
rnacentral:sRNA from 1 species